UAAUAUUUGGAAGGAAGGCAUGAUCUGACCCCCACCCAGUGCUGGCAGUUUUUCAACCCUGCACAACAGAAUCAAACUCCAGACCAAUUAGAUCAUAAUCCCUGGAGUUCGAGCCUGGGCAUCAGGAAUUUGUCAACACUUCCCAAGGUGAAGUUUAUGUACAGCCAGGAUUGAACACCACUGCCCCAGCGUCCCUGACCAGGGGACACCCAGGAGACAGCAGUUCCGUCUUUUUGAGCCCCACAGAAAGACUACAAUCUCUUCCUCGUGCUCAAUGACAGUUUUCAUGCCAACCAUUAAUUCCAUUCAGGACACGCCCUUUCCCCUCAUGAUGGGACAUCCGGAAGAGCCAAACCUCCUCCAGGGUGGUCUGACCAGCACGGAGCAGAGCUCGCCAUCACCUUUCUUUUUCUGGAAGCUUCACCGAGUCCAGUUUGCCUGAGGUUGUAUUUCUUUCUUUUUUUUCUUUCUUUCUUUUUUUUUUGGCACCCACAUCCUUCAGCUGACUCAUGCUGCGUCCCCAGGUGUCUGGGCUGCUAAAUCAUUUGUCACACGUGCUCCCG